UUCUUCUUUUUAGAAGUUUUUGGUGAGCCAACCCUCACAAACCUUCCUAAAAACUAAAAGAGCUAUUACUGAGUCUCAGUGAAUCUUGCCAUGAUCAGCUCUUCCCAGAAGAGAAGGAAGACCAAGGAAAUGAUUUGCCCAGGAUGAGGAAUGAAGACGGCCAUCUUGAGCUCAAACAACCAGAAGUCCUCUGAUGAUCUCAUCAGCCAAGUGAGGGGUUUUGACCAAGUGAUGCUCUUGAAAGGAGUGAAAGAAGAUGAUGUGGUAAAUUGUCUUCAGAGAAAAAGCUUCUCUAAAGGUCUUAAAGCAGCUUGAAGAAUGGUCUGGGAUCUUAGGACCGAGAGAUCCUCUGGCUGAGAACAAGCUACACCACAUCAGUGCUGGAUAUCAACCACAAACUGUUUCCAGACACAAGAGAAGAUCACGAUGGGGAGAUGAAACCAGUUUAGAUGUGAUGAUAAGGAAUCAUUAUUUUCUGAAACAGUAUCACAUGUCUUAUAUGUAUCACAUGAUCUUUAUCACAGUUGACUGGAUGGGACUGUGUGACUUUUAAGGACAUUUCAUCACUCAUCUGUGUGAACUGAUUAAUAUAUGAGGUUAAUGUCUUUUUGAUGAUAAUUAUUUUCCUUGAAUCUUAUUUGUCUUGAUGCUACUUUAUCAACUUUAUAGUCUAUGCUUCAAUAAAAUGAAAAUGGUGAA